GAAAAAUCCAUUGCAAGAACAAAUACGAUUUCUCCCGAGUUGAGAAGCAAAAUGUAAGGAACCCAGUUGCGGAUAUCAACUGCUGGAUCUUGAUGGUCAAUUACAAAGAAGAAAAGGGGCAAAAAAAAAAAAGUAGUUUUUUUUGAUGACACAGUUUUUUCUUUGGUCAAAGAAAGAAGGCUAACAGUGAGAACUAAAACUGAA
rnacentral:misc_RNA from 1 species